AUACGGAGGGUGCAAGCGUUAUCCGGAUUUACUGGGUUUAAAGGGUACGCAGGCGGUAAUUUAAGUCAGUGGUGAAAGCCUACAGCUCAACUGUAGAACUGCCAUUGAAACUGAAUUACUUGAGUAUGGUAGAGGUAGGCGGAAUACAACAUGUAGCGGUGAAAUGCAUAGAUAUGUUGUGGAACACCGAUUGCGAAGGCAGCUUACUAAACCAUUACUGACGCUCAUGUACGAAAGCGUGGGGAGCGAACAGGAGUAGAAACCCUAGUAGUCC
rnacentral:rRNA from 1 species